rnacentral:rRNA from 1 species
UCGAGAGGCUUCGGCAAUGGGGGAAACCCUGACCGAGCGACGCCGCGUGGAGGAUGAAGGCCUUUGGGUUGUAAACUCCUGUCAUGAGGGAAGAAACGUCACCGUUCUAAUAGGGCGGUGAUUUGACGGUACCUCAAGAGGAAGCUCCGGCUAACUCCGUGCCAGCAGCCGCGGUAAUACGGGGGGAGCAAACGUUGUUCGGAAUCACUGGGCGUAAAGGGCGCGUAGGCGGCUUCGUAAGUGGGGUGUUAAAUCUCCCGGCUCAACUGGGAGGGGUCAUGGGAAACUGGCAGGCUUGAGGGCAGCAGAGGGAAGCGGAAUUCCCGGAGUAGUGGUGAAAUGCGUAGAUACCGGGAGGAACACCAGUGGCGAAAGCGGCUUCCUGGACUGUACCUGACGCUGAGGCGCGAAAGCGUGGGGAGCAAACCGGAUUAGAUACCCGGGUAGUCCACGCCCUAAACGAUGGAUACUAGGUAUGGGGGGUAUCGACCCCUCCCGUGCCGAAGCUAACGCGAUAAGUAUCCCGCCUGGGAGUACGGCCGCAAGGCUA